AGUCCUUUUUUUUUUUCUUCCCUUAUAUCUUUGUUGAUUUCAAAUUACUAGACCUUCAUUGAUCAAAUAUGUCCAUAUUGAAUCAAGAACCCUGAAAUUCCACACAAUUCAUCCCUUUAAAAUUCUGCCUAAACCAAAUUAAACCAUUUUGUUUGCCAUUAAUUCAUACCAAUUUAACCAUAACAAAAUCAAGGCACAUCGCUAAGCUAGCCUAGCAGUGGCAGCGGCACAUGGGAGGUAGUGGGGUCAAAUGACCCAUUAGACUUUUUUUGUCCUGUAUAUUAUAUGUUGUUGACACAAAAUGAUUCUACAUGAAAUUAAUACAGAAGAUAAAAUUUUCAAAAGAUAAGACUGUCUAAGAAAUUAUAAAAAUUAAAAUAAAGUGAGAAGAAAAACAAAUAAACAAAUAAACGUGUGUUCAAGAAACAAACAAGAGGACAUAAACAAAAGAGUUUGAAGGAAACCGAAUGAAGUGAGAAGUUUUUCUUUGUGUUUGAAGAAUUGAAAGCGAAGAUCCAACAAGUAAAGGUCUUUGAAAAGCUCUUGUAGAUGUAUCAUUUUAAUUUUGUUGUUUUCAAAUGAAAAUUGGUUUGCAAUUUGUAAAUUAGGUGAAGUAUUAAAAUUACUCUUUGCUUUGUUUUAUGAAUAUUAUUUUGUUUUCCUUAACUUAAUUAGUAGAAAUUUCAAUAAAUUAAUUAUGUAGAAAUUGUUUCA
rnacentral:misc_RNA from 1 species